AAUGAACGUUGGCGGCAUGGAUUAGGCAUGCAAGUCGAGCGAGAAGGGUUUUGAAGCUUGCUUUAGAACCCGGAAAGCGGCGCAAGGGAGAGUAACGAGUAGUUAUCUACCCCAAGGCCCGGAAUAGCUGCGGGAAACUGCAGGUAAUGCCGGAUAAUAUCCCCGGAUCAAAGGUGUGAUUCCGCCUUGGGAGGAGACUGCUUUGUACUAGCUAGUUGGUAGGGUAAUGGCCUACCAAGGCUACGAUGCAUAGCGGGCGUGAGAGCGUGGCCCGUCUCACUGGGACUGAAACACUGCCCAGACACCUACGGGUGGCUGCAGUCGGGAAUCUUCGGCAAUGGGCGAAAGCCUGACCGAGCGAUGCCGCGUGCGGGAUGAAGGCCCUCGGGUUGUAAACCGCUGUCGUAGAGGAGAAAGGUCUGAUGAAGAAUCAGAUUUGAUCUAUUCUAGGAGGAAGUCGGGGCUAAGUUCGUGCCAGCAGCCGCCGUAACAC
rnacentral:rRNA from 1 species